rnacentral:lncRNA from 1 species
GUCUUCCUCUACCUCCCAGAUGAGAAGCCCUAAGACCAUGACGUUGGGGCCCAAGAUGCAGAGGUGUUAUCCCCACUCUACCCCCAGCAGACAUAGAAGAAGAAAUACCCAAGAGUGGAGAGACACACUGCCAUCUAUCUCCACGACUGCUCAGGACCCAUGGCUCUCUCAAACGCACAAGCUCACACCUUCAGUCCAAGCUUGCUGCAGUGCCGCAUCCAUGUAAAGGCUUCCCCUGACUGUGGGUUGGACAAUAUGUGUUGGUACCAUGCUCCAGUCCUGCCUGUCCUCAUCUCUGACUCUCUUGAGUGAAGACUUUGAACAUCUUCACGGAUACCUGAAUUGCUGAUUGAUGACCAUUCCCUACACAUCCCACUGUCCUGCUGCACUGGCUGGUCCUGGAGACACAGACCCCUGGAACAACAGUGAGCUAAAAAAAAUCAGUGCCACCUGACCCCGUGGUAUCGUAUGCUUCACAGCACCAUAGCAGGAUUAGCUUGACUUAUGUUAGAACAUAAAUAUGUAUUACAUUUCUUAAAGUGACCUAUUUGAUAAACAGAAUUGCUGAGCAUUUUUGAGGGUAUGCCUAAGGGUGUUAUAAAAACUAUAUCAAGAUAAACAGGGUACUGUGAAUCAAGAAAAUAGAGCUAGCUCUGCCCUCAGGUGAGGCAAGCAUAAGAAAUGUGGCUUACGGACCUCCUCCAGUGAUGUCAUCUAAGCCCACCAGCAGUACUUCUGUGUCUGUCCACUUGUUCACUCUAACAUAUGCUAAGCUCCUACCGUGUGCCAAGUACUGUGUUCAGGGAACUCAAGGGCAAGGUCCUACCUGGACAGAAGGUUCCCUCAAAAAUUUAAUGAGCUACACUGACUGAG